UACGUAGGUGGCAAGCGUUGUCCGGUAUUUACUGGGCGUAAAGAGCGCGCAGGCGGUCGAUUAAGUCGGAUGUGAAACUCCCCUGGCUCAACGUGGGGGGCGUCAUUCGACACUGCUCGACUUGAAGGCAGGAGAGGGAAGCAGAAUUCCCGGUGUAGUGGUGAAAUGCGUAGAUAUCGGGAGGAAUACCAGUGGCGAAGGCGGCUUCCUGGCCUGUUCUUGACGCUGAGGCGCGAAAGCUGGGGGGAGCAAAC
rnacentral:rRNA from 1 species